GCAUCUGCUGUGGAUGGGGCAGAGAUAUUUCUCUGCUGCUGCAAGCUGUCUCUGGCUUUGGAGAUCCCCACAAGAAAUAACUAAACGAGCAUCAAAGGCAGAAGAUACUGGAUAGGAGAUAGUGCUAACAUGUACCUCCUACUUGGAUGGACAGUAUGGCAUGUGAAGAUUCAUACUGUGGACUUUUGCUCCAAGAACCACUGCAGGACCAUACCAGGAAAACCUAAAGAAUUCACAGAUCUUUGAAAGAAGCACAAGUCACUGCAGAUUGCAUGAGACAGAUGAACAACUAUGAGUUUCCAUAGUCUGAAAGGGGGAAAACCUGCCUUCAAACACGUAUUCCCGCUGAGGAAUCUGAAAAUACAGAUCACCAGAGAAGGAUUUAACCUUAUCUAGAGCUGGAAUGGAUUUAGGGAGCUGUGCAAAAUAUAAAAGUAAAUGCAACAGUGGGAAGAGCCUUGUAGGCACUCCCAUUCUUCACCUUGUGCGCAGGGAAGCCAUUUCUGAUUGUAUUUCACAGAAGCCCUCAGGGAAGGCACUCAGCAGAAUUAGGGAAGGGUCACAGGGUGUAAGAAGUUUCCAACUGAAUUUUGCAAUAAUUUUAACUGGGCACUAACUUUUUUGACAGGAUAUGGGGGUGAAUGGGAACUGCUGCAAAUACAAGAGCUGGAGUCACAGCCAACUUUGUUGGCAGAUGGGGAGGGGCAAGGCCUGAAAGCAGUGCUUGCUUGCUAAGUGGGGUAGUUUAUGGCCUGAGGCAACGUCUGAGUUUCAGGAGAGCAAGCUGCCUGGAUCUAAACUUGGCACUGUUAGUAGUGUGUCCAGAAUUGGUGGGUUCUUUGUCUCACUGAUUUCAAGAAUGAAGCCGCAGGACCUCACGCACUUUGAAUGUAUCAGUCUGCUGCCUUCUGGCCACCAAAGUGUAUGAUGAGAAAUUUGCUGAUAAUUUUAUUGAGGAUCCCUUGUAUAUGUGAUCAAUUGCUGAUACAGAAAACAACAGAAGACCCUAUUGGAGGACAUGCCACCCAGAGCUAGUCUACAUGUUGCGCCUCAGUGUCAUUUCAUGACCAGAGUAUCAGUUCCAAGGACAGCCAUGGAAACUGAGCCAGUUUCCAGUUCCAAGAUGGUCGAAUAGGAACAGCUCCAGUCUGCAGCUCCCAGCAUGAUUGACACAGAAGACGGUGAUUUCUGCAUUUCCAACUGAGAAUUGUGUGACAAUGACUUUUGGACAUUUGUUCUUUCGGCUUUGGAAUAUUUACACAAGAAUGGAGAAGGAACAUCCAACUGGAGCAUAAUUGUCAAGGCAAUAGAGAAUUUAGAGAAAUAAAAUAGCUGCAUAUCUCAAAAGAGUGCCUGAUGCUUUCUUUUUACUUUAAAGUAUUUAUACUAAGGUAAAGUGCUGAUGCAUCAAAAUUGCCUUCACUUUUCCUCGUGACAAUAAAAGACUUUAAUAAUGGUAAUGCUAGAAUUAACUGAUGUCAGUAACACAUGCAUCUUUAUUUCACUCAAAAUCUC
rnacentral:lncRNA from 10 species